UGCUUUUAGAUAAUAAGCCCGGUGGCCCAUUAUCAUCAACCCUAAUUGCGUUGACGGGAGAAAUCUAGCUUCGGGUUUCGUGCUCCUCUUCGUUACACGGCGGCACCUGUUCUGCUUCUCCGAACUCUGAAACGGCUCGAGUUAUGGUUUUAUAAAUAUGUCAGUACUUCUCCUCCUCAAAUCAUAUGUUUCUCCUAUUUUAGUAUACAUAUUCACGGUGAUAUGUCUAAAUCGAUGAUGUUUUGGUCCGAUUUGAAGUCCGGCGACCAUAACGCAGGCCACCAUUAAUGCUAACCGGCGUCCAACAUUCCGACCUAGACUCACGGCCGGUUCGAUGUGUUUCGAUUUGUUCAAGAGCCGGUACUAUGAUAGGUACCCUUAGAUCUGUGAGAAAUGCUCUGAGUAAUGGUGAACAAAACAGAUAGAAGAGUUCGAGGAUCUGGGUCCAGCGAGUUGAGUAGUAACACAGAAAAAAGUUUGGGCGCUGACAGAACACACCAAACGUUCACGUUGACACGAGAGUCUCGAGCUCCGGUGAUCAUACCGACAUUGCAUCACAAUUAUCUCACGUGAGGUCCCGAUCAUUAA